GAGUUUGAUCGUGGCUCAGAUUGAACGCUGGCGGCAGGCCUAACACAUGCAAGUCGAGCGGAUGAAGAGAGCUUGCUCUCUGAUUCAGCGGCGGACGGGUGAGUAAUGCCUAGGAAUCUGCCUGAUAGUGGGGGACAACGUUUCGAAAGGAACGCUAAUACCGCAUACGUCCUACGGGAGAAAGCAGGGGACCUUCGGGCCUUGCGCUAUCAGAUGAGCCUAGGUCGGAUUAGCUAGUAGGUGAGGUAAAGGCUCACCUAGGCGACGAUCCGUAACUGGUCUGAGAGGAUGAUCAGUCACACUGGAACUGAGACACGGUCCAGACUCCUACGGGAGGCAGCAGUGGGGAAUAUUGGACAAUGGGCGAAAGCCUGAUCCAGCCAUGCCGCGUGUGUGAAGAAGGUCUUCGGAUUGUAAAGCACUUUAAGUUGGGAGGAAGGGCAGUAAGUUAAUACCUUGCUGUUUUGACGUUACCAACAGAAUAAGCACCGGCUAACUUCGUGCCA
rnacentral:rRNA from 2 species